GACGAACGCUGGCGGCGUGCCUAAUACAUGCAAGUCGAGCGGACUGAAUGGGAGCUUGCUCUUGUUCGGUCAGCGGCGGACGGGUGAGUAACACGUGGGCAACCUGCCCGCAAGACCGGGAUAACUCCGGGAAACCGGAGCUAAUACCGGAUAACACCGAAGACCGCAUGGUCUUUGGUUGAAAGGCGGCGCAAGCUGCCACUUGCGGAUGGGCCCGCGGCGCAUUAGCUAGUUGGUGAGGUAACGGCUCACCAAGGCGACGAUGCGUAGCCGGCCUGAGAGGGUGACCGGCCACACUGGGACUGAGACACGGCCCAGACCCCUACGGGAGGCAGCAGUAGGGAAUCUUCCGCAAUGGGCGAAAGCCUGACGGAGCGACGCCGCGUGAGCGAAGAAGGCCUUCGGGUCGUAAAGCUCUGUUGUGAGGGACGAAGGAGCGCCGUUUGAAGAAGGCGGCGCGGUGACGGUACCUCACGAGGAAGCCCCGGCUAACUACGUG
rnacentral:rRNA from 1 species